GGCGGAGGUACCCAAGGG
rnacentral:tRNA from 1 species